UAUUGCACAAUGGGGGAAACCCUGAUGCAGCGACGCCGCGGGGGUGACGAAGUAUUUCGGUAUGUAAAGCCCUAUCAGCAGGGAAGAAGAUGACAGUACCUGACUCAGAAGCCCCGGCUAACUACGUGCCAGUAGCCGCGGUAAUACGUAGGGGGCAAGCGUUAUCCGGAUUUACUGGGUGUAAAGGGAGCGCAGGUGGCAGGGCAAGCCAGAAGUGGAAACCCGGGGCUUAACCCCGCGGAUUGCUUUUGGAACUGUCAGGCUGGAGUGCAGGAGGGGCAGGCGGAAUUCCUGGUGUAGCGGUGAAAUGCGUAGAUAUCAGGAGGAACAUCGGUGGCGAAGGCGGCCUGCUGGACUGUAACUGACACUGAGGCUCGAAAGCGUGGGGAGCAAACAGG
rnacentral:rRNA from 1 species